rnacentral:rRNA from 1 species
CCUACGAGAGGCAGCAGUGGGGAAUAUUGGGCAAUGGGCGCAAGCCUGACCCAGCAACGCCGCGUGAAGGAAGAAGGCUUUCGGGUUGUAAACUUCUUUUCUCAGGGACGAAGCAAGUGACGGUACAUGAGGAAUAAGCCACGGCUAACUACGUGCCAGCAGCCGCGGUAAUACGUAGGUGGCAAGCGUUAUCCGGAUUUACUGGGUGUAAAGGGCGUGGAGGCGGGAAAGCAAGUCAGAUGUGAAAACCAUGGGCUCAACCUGUGGCCUGCAUUUGAAACUGUUUUUCUUGAGUACUGGAGAGGCAGACGGAAUUCCUAGUGUAGCGGUGAAAUGCGUAGAUAUUAGGAGGAACACCAGUGGCGAAGGCGGUCUGCUGGACAGCAACUGACGCUGAGGCGCGAAAGCGUGGGGAGCAAACAGGAUUAGAUACCCCUGUAGUC